CCUCACCCUCCCUAGACUCUAACAGCCUGUGUACUGCCGUCGUAAGCACACCCCUAAAAGAAAGAAGUGUGCAGACAUGAUUAAACUCAUAUACGUCAGGUCAAAGUGCAGCCCAUGGGAGGGAGAUGAUGGGUUACACCCUAAACAAAGAUACGGAAUACAGUACUAAAAGCUGUAUAAAGGAGGACUUGGUUGUAACGUUUCUUCAAAACUAAAGUGAAUAUGAAUCUAAGACAUGUACACAUCGCCCGUCACUCUCGCCUAAAGGCGGGAUAAGUCGUAACAAAGUAGGUGUAACGGAAGUUGUCCCUGU
rnacentral:rRNA from 1 species